rnacentral:rRNA from 1 species
UAGUCCACGCCGUAAACGAUGAUUACUCGGUGCUAGCGAUAUACAGUUAGUGCCUAAGCGAAAGCGAUAAGUAAUCCACCUGGGGAGUACGGUCGCAAGAUUGAAACUCAAAGGAAUUGACGGGGGCCCGCACAAGCGGUGGAGCAUGUGGUUUAAUUCGAUGAUACGCGAGGAACCUUACCUGGGCUUAAAUGUAGAUUGACAGUUUGAGAAAUCAGAUUUUCUUCGGACAAUUUACAAGGUGCUGCAUGGUUGUCGUCAGCUCGUGCUGUGAGGUGUCGGGUUAAGUCCCAUAACGAGCGCAACCCCUAUCCUUAGUUGCCAGCGAGUAAUGUCGGGGACUCUAGGGAAACUGCCGGUGCAAACCGUGAGGAAGGUGGGGAUGACGUCAAAUCAUCACGGCCCUUACGUCCAGGGCUACACACGUGCUACAAUGGCGCAUACAAAGGGCAGCUACAUGGUGACAUGGUGCUAAUCUCUAAAGUGCGUCUCAGUUCGGAUCG